AUCUAGUUAAAGUAGUUUUCUUUUCUUUUUAGCUGAAAAUGGCUACGAAAGCCAACUCAAACUUCAACAGGCUAUGCUCAGGAGGCAAGAACUUCUAGACAAAAUUAGACAAGAGCAAUUAGACGACAAACGACCUCGAACCUACACACCUAGAAGGCGAUACACACCAUC
rnacentral:sRNA from 1 species